rnacentral:rRNA from 1 species
UACAGAGGGGGCAAGCGUUGUUCGGAAUUACUGGGCGUAAAGGGCGCGUAGGCGGCUUGGUCAGUCCCGUGUGAAAUCCUUCGGCUCAACUGAGGAACUGCACGGGAAACUGCCUGGCUUGAGUUCGGGAGAGGGAAGCGGAAUUCCGGGUGUAGCGGUGAAAUGCGUAGAGAUCGGGAGGAAGGCCGGUGGCGAAGGCGGCGCUCUGGACCGUACCUGACGCUGAGACACGAAAGCGUGGGGAGCAAACAGG